CAAGGAUUCGCGGGAGAGAUCGUCUCGGUCACACGAGAAGGCGCCGACGGAGCAACCGCCCCGGAAACUCUCAGGCAAAAGAACCGCACCCGAAUU
rnacentral:ncRNA from 1 species